CCAACUGAUUUCUCAGGCUGAUUUCACCUUGUAAAACCCUGACCAGAGAACCCAGCCAUGCCACUCAUGAACUUCUGAAACUACAGAACUUAGCCUUAUGGAAAAGACCUCUGAUGUCCCCCAACUUUUGCCAUACUGCAGCUUAGGCAUCUUUGUCUCUCUCUUACCCACAAUCCCUCUGCUGGCAUCAAGCAACCAGGAUCAUGGAAACUCACUUUUCCAGGGAAAUAAUCCCUCAUCAAAGGGAAAUUGAAUCUGAAAUGCCUGUAUCUCUUCCCACAUUGCCCUUGGCCUUGGCGAUGGAAUUUGCUUUGUCCGAUGGAACCAUAGCAAGUGUGAAGCCAGCAGAGAAUUGAAAAGCACUUGCACACCACGGUUUGCCCCCUCUUGCUGCUCUUGGCACAGAGAACAACAAUGUGAAGAAGUGUGGGUGAGGUGGAUGAUGAGAGGCCCAGGACCCAUGUAUUCUCUCCACCACAGCUGAUGGUGAACCAACUGCCAGAUGUGGGUGAGACCAUGAUAGACCAUCUAGCCCCCAGCAGAGCCAGGGGCUCUCACCACAGAUGCAUAAGCAGGCGUUCUGAGAACAGCGAAAGGACCACUCAGCUUUGCUCAGCUGAAAUUGUUGACCUGCAGAAUUACAAACAGAAUUUGGUUGUUUAAAGUCACUAAAUUUUGGAUGGUUUGUGGUACAUCAAAAUCUGGCUGGCACAAUUGGUAACUGCCACCCAUCAAAAUCCAACCAAAAAUAGGAGAUAGAUAAAAUACUUUUCAUAGUAGAAAUAUAGCCUCUGCUUGCAAAAGUUGACAGUGAACUUUCCCUGGAGUCUUAAGGAAAGGGAUGAGGUUAAGAUGUGUGACAUUUGUUGGAUACGAUCUGUUUGCCAAGCCCUGGGUUGACCCCUGUAUCCUGUUUAACAGCCCAUUAAAUCUUAGAGAGGAGAUUACUAUUUGCAAUUCAUAGAAGAGAAGACUUAGAGUGGAGUUUGUAUUUGAAUUCAAGUCUUCGUGUCUCUACAGCAGAUUAUUUUUAUCAGGAGCUAUGGUUUGUUGUGUCAUUUUUUGGAUGAUGUGGAGAAUUGACUUCUUACAUGAGGUGUUCUUUUGCUAAGAGUCACUGGGUUCAAAGAAAGGUAUUUUCAUCUGGAUGUUCUUCUCCUGCACAAUCUAGUGAAAAGAACACCUAAGUGCCUACCUCACUUCCACCAAUCAAGUGUGUCACCUCGACAUGUUACUUGACCACUUGAAGUUCAAUAACUUCUGCACACAGAAAAUGGAAUUAAGUGAUGCAGAAGAGAAGAUAUUGUUUCAUCAUCACUCUAGGCAUUGAUUUUGAUCUAUUGGUGGUCUGAUUGGUUUUACAUACUUAAUAUGUAUCAACCAACAAAUCUGAACAAUGAGUAUCAGAAUCUCCCUUCAACAGAUUAAGAAACCAGCUGACAUGCGCUUAAGUAAGACAGUAAGUGAGGGAGCUGAGAUUCACACCUUGGUCUGUGUGACUCCAAAGGCAAUCCUCUUCCCUUCUCUAUGACACAUGUCAUGGAUGUUGAGAGUUGCUGACAUGCACAGCCCAUGCCAUUCCUGUGAUACAGAUGUCUUCCCCUGGGAGAAUGUUAGAGACCUUCCCAGAGCCCUUUAGCAUUCACAGCCAGAACCAACUUUCAGGAGAGUGACCACAACAUAUCUGAGAGGAUUUCAGGAGAUAGUAAAGGCGAACAGUCAGGUGAAGUGAUUUUAGUAGUAGUCAAUGAGAGAAAACAUGAUGUUUUACAAACAAUAGUCAAUGAGAGAAAACAUGAUGUUUUACAAACAAAUGACCUAGAAUUUAAAUCUGGCUCUCUCAAGUAGUUUUGCAGCCUGAAGCAAGGGAAUAUCUCUGACUGUAUUAUUUCUCAUCUGUAAACUGGGAUUAUAAAAGUACCUACCUCAUUAACCUCACCUUGCCUGAAAGGGCUUUCCUGACCAUGUGUACCCACCCUCCACUUACA